rnacentral:snRNA from 1 species
AUUAAGGAUCAAAUCAGUGCUUGCUUUGGAACAAUACAGGGAAGAUUAGCAUGGUCCCUGUGCAAGGAUGACAUGCAAAUUUGUGAAGUGUUCCAUAUUUUU